rnacentral:rRNA from 1 species
AGGACGAACGCUGGCGGCGUGCCUAAUACAUGCAAGUCGAACGAAUCUCUUUUAGAGAUGAGUGGCGAACGGGUGAGUAAUACAUAGGUAACCUGCCCCUGUGCGGGGGAUAACAGGAGGAAACUCCUGCUAAUACCGCAUAGCCAUGAGCACCGCAUGGAGCUCAUGCCAAAUAUCCUUUCGGGGAUAGCGCAGGGAUGGACCUAUGGCGCAUUAGCUGGUUGGCGGGGCAACGGCCCACCAAGGCAACGAUGCGUAGCCGGCCUGAGAGGGCGGACGGCCACAUUGGGACUGAGACACGGCCCAGACUCCUACGGGAGGCAGCAGUAGGGAAUUUUCGGCAAUGGGGGAAACCCUGACCGAGCAACGCCGCGUGAGCGAAGAAGGCCUUCGGGUCGUAAAGCUCUGUUGUAAGGGAAGAACGGCGCAUACAGGAAAUGGUAUGCGAGUGACGGUACUUUACCAGAAAGCCACGGCUAACUACGUGCCAGCAGCCGCGGUAAUACGUAGGUGGCGAGCGUUAUCCGGAAUCAUUGGGCGUAAAGAGGGAGCAGGCGGCCGCAAGGGUCUGUGGUGAAAGACCGAAGCUAAACUUCGGUAAGCCAUGGAAACCGGGCGGCUAGAGUGCGGAAGAGGAUCGUGGAAUUCCAUGUGUAGCGGUGAAAUGCGUAGAUAUAUGGAGGAACACCAGUGGCGAAGGCGACGGUCUGGGCCGCAACUGACGCUCAUUCCCGAAAGCGUGGGGAGCAAAUAGGAUUAGAUACCCUAGUAGUCCACGCCGUAAACGAUGGUCACUAAGUGUCGGGGGUCAAACCCCGGUGCUGCAGUCAACGCAAUAAGUGACCCGCCUGAGUAGUACGUUCGCAAGAAUGAAACUCAAAGGAAUUGAC